GAUGAACGCUGGCGGCGUGCUUAACACAUGCAAGUCGAACGAGAAGUGAAGACGGAAACCUUCGGGCGGAAGGCUUUAUUUCGAGUGGCGGACGGGUGAGUAACGCGUGGGUAACCUGCCUCAUACAGGGGGAUAACAGUUGGAAACGACUGUUAAUACCGCAUCAGACCACAGCACCGCAUGGUGCGGGGGUAAAAACUCCGGUGGUAUGAGAUGGACCCGCGUUCGAUUAGCCAGUUGGCGGGGUAACGGCCCACCAAAGCGACGAUCGAUAGCCGAUCUGAGAGGAUGACCGGCCACAUUGGGACUGAGACACGGCCCAAACUCCUACGGGAGGCAGCAGUGGGGAAUAGUGCACAAUGGGGGAAACCCUGAUGCAGCGACGCCGCGUGAGUGAAGAAGUAUUUCGGUAUGUAAAGCUCUAUCAGCAGGGAAGAAAAUGACGGUACCUGAGUAAGAAGCCCCGGCUAACUACGUG
rnacentral:rRNA from 1 species